UUCUCAGCUGGACUCUGCUCUGUCCUCAGGUAGUCACAGCUGUAAAAUGGGCACAGCACCAGGCCUGCCUUCUUCACGGAGAUGUCGAGGGUUCCAAGGAGCCAGCUUAAGACUGUGAUCAGCAUGGGUGCCGGCGGAGACACCUCAGCUACCAGUCCCUAGAUGAAAAGAAAAUAAUCAUUGCCCUCAAGAAGCUUACACUCCACCAGGAGGACCCUACACGCAUAGGUUAACAAAUACACCCUAUGUCAAGUGGAGUAAAUAAAAGUAGAGAUGCCAGCCUUGGAGUUCGGGUCCUGCCUCUGACCAUCCGAGCUGUGUGACUUUGGAAGUCAUGGAAACUCUCGGGGUCCCAGGCAACUCUCUAAUACUUCAAGUUAGAAUGGAGUUAGGAGUCUCUCACACCAGUGAAAUCACUGACCCCAAAUGGCUCCACCCCUGCCCAGCAAAGUGUCAAGAGUCCAGACAACUGCAGUAAUCAGAGGAGGCUUCCUAGAGGAGGUUGUCUUGGAUUGGGCUCGAUUGAAUGGAAUUGCAUUGGCUAAGCUGAGCACUUCCCCAUGCAUCUCUGCAGAUCCAGCCUCAGAAGGAGCUCAAAACGGUGGCCAUGGAUGAAGUGUGAUUCCAGGUAGCAUCUGAAAAGCUCAAUGACCAAUAAAAUCCAUGUCUACCUGGGUGAAUAAAGACCC
rnacentral:lncRNA from 1 species